rnacentral:tRNA from 1 species
GGUUCCUGUAGUGUAGUGGUUAUCACGUUCGCUUCACACGCGAAAGGUCUCCGGUUCAACUCUGACGGAACCA